rnacentral:lncRNA from 1 species
CAGAUUCACUUAGGCUGGGCUGUUCUGCCAUGUUAGUGUUCUCCUGAGUAUUCAGACUUACAAUCAGGAUGUCCUCUUCAACCUAUAUUUUUUCUUCACUCAUAUUUUUUCAUUGGAAUAACCUAAUAAUUUAUGGCUCUCAGAAAGCUGAUAUUACACUGGGCAAAACACCAGGGUAAAUCAGACCAGAUGGUGUGGCAAUUCCCUAUAAAGAAAAAAUAACUUUAUGUUAAUAUAUUUUUAAUGUUUGGACACCUUACAGACUUUUUGUUGAAUUGCUUUGUGAGCUACAAUAACACAAUUAUUUGGUUCAAAAUUCUACGUUGACUGUCAAAUCAUUUUCAGAGGUAGAAUAUUUUUUAUUCUUCCUGGAAAGCAUUAUGUCACAAAUCUCUUCACUGUAGAAUUGAUGAAAAUAAUUAAUUGAAGUUUGGUUUGUGGAGUUUGUAAUGAUUUCUGGUUUUGUGGCAGAGGUUUACAGAGAAAACAGUUGUCAGAAGUGUGUGGCAGCUUCAUUCCUGGCAUUUAAGUAUAUGCUGAAUAAAAUACAUAUUGUACUUU